AACGAACGCUGGCGGCAUGCCUAACACAUGCAAGUCGAACGAGAUCUUCGGAUCUAGUGGCGCACGGGUGCGUAACGCGUGGGAAUCUGCCCUUUGCUUCGGAAUAACAGUUAGAAAUGACUGCUAAUACCGGAUGAUGUCUUCGGACCAAAGAUUUAUCGGCAAAGGAUGAGCCCGCGUAGGAUUAGGUAGUUGGUGGGGUAAAGGCCUACCAAGCCGACGAUCCUUAGCUGGUCUGAGAGGAUGAUCAGCCACACUGGGACUGAGACACGGCCCAGACUCCUACGGGAGGCAGCAGUGGGGAAUUUUGGACAAUGGGCGCAAGCCUGAUCCAGCAAUGCCGCGUGCAGGAUGAAGGCCU
rnacentral:rRNA from 1 species